GAUGAACGCUGGCGGCGUGCCUAAUACAUGCAAGUCGAGCGAACGGACGAGAAGCUUGCUUCUCUGAUGUUAGCGGCGGACGGGUGAGUAACACGUGGAUAACCUACCUAUAAGACUGGGAUAACUUCGGGAAACCGGAGCUAAUACCGGAUAAUAUUUUGAACCGCAUUGUUCCAUAGUGAAAGACGGUUUUGCUGUCACUUAUAGAUGUAUCCGCGCUGCAUUAGCUAGUUGGUAAGGUAACGGCUUACCAAGGCAACGAUGCAUAUCCGACCUGAGAGGGGGAUCGGCAACACGGGAACUGAGAAACGGUCCAGACGACUAAGGGAGGCAGCAGGAGGGAAUCUUACGCAAUGGGCGAAAGCCUGACGGAGGAAAGGCGAGUGAGUGAAGAAGGGCUUCGGAUCGGAAAACUCUGGUAAUAGGGAAGAAAAAAAGGGGAAGGAAAUGGGCACAGCAUGACGGUAACUAAACAGAAAGCCACGGCUAACUACGUG
rnacentral:rRNA from 1 species